ACUACACUUAUUAAAAAUCAAGAUCAUCAACAACGGAGAGAGAGAGAGAGAGAGAAAGAGAGAGAGAGACGCGGCAACAACCACCCAACAUCCCAACACUUGGCAACACCGGACAGGUAACACAGCCCACGCCGCACACCUGAGAUUCAAAACAGCAUGAGUGUCAGCAAUGCCACCCUACAAUAACACUCUGCCUGCUUUCAACAACCAGUUUGGAAUCAAGCCAGAGUUCUACAACUACACUCCCUUCUAUAUUGGCAUCACCUUCUGCACUAUUCUGGGCAUCAUUCUGAUUAUGGUCAACUGGAUCUGCAGCUGCUGCCACGAACACUCUAAGUACUGGAACGACCCUGACACAGGCAACCGUUUUGCUUCCCUCAUUUUUGUGCGCAAGGCCAAGCAGCGCCCCCUUGAUGCCCUCUACUAGUCACCAGCACCUUCCAGCUCCUCACUCCCCACUGCUGCACAUCUCUUGUCCUCUGCUCAGUUGAAAACAGUCCGCAGCCAUGGGCGUGCACACAGCCUGGCCACCGCUUGCCUGCCUGGCCAUGUUUGUCAUCAUCAUAGCGUUCAUCAUUGUCAAAUACGGCGACACUCUCUUCGGUGCCCGGUCGGUGCCUCUGUCUCGUGGUGCCUUUGAGGAUGGGGACCAGACCUCUGUCAACACUGUGUCGUGCCUGUAUGACGAGAGGGAGAGUGUGAGGGACUAUGAGAAGGAAAGUAUCAGGGAGUACGUGGAGGUGGUGGAGAUGCCAGACAUAUCUCCCGGCCCACAGAAGAAGUAUGAGUAUGCUGUGUGAAGGAUGGGAUGUCUUGCCUCUUGUUUUCUUUGCUAUUGAAGAGAACAGUUUUUUUUUAAUGUUUUAGUCUAUCUGUCCAAUGAGAUGUGUUCUUUUUUCCUUAUGAAGAGAUAUUUUUGGCUUUAUCUCUCUAAGGAAAGGAGACUAGAUACAUUAUUUUUUCUCUUUUCCUUUUUUUUUUUAAGGAUGGAAGGAAGGGAGGAAGAGUAAAUUUAUUGAUUUUCUCCAUGCAAUGAAAGGAGACUUAAGUAUAUUUAUUUUUUUCUCUCUUUCCAUUUUUGUAAGGAAGGAAAGAAGGAAGUAAAUUUCUCGAUUUCUCAGUUGUCACUCAUGUUAAUGCUACAAAUCAGGCAGUAUUUUUGUAAGGAAGGAAGGAAGGGACAGUAGUUUUUUUGUUCACUCAGUUGUCACUCAUGUUAAUGCCACAGAUCAGGCAGUAGUUUUGUAAGGAAAGGACAGUAAUUUUCUUGGUUCACUCAGUUGUCACUCAUGUUAAUGCUACAGAUCAGGCAGUAGUUUUGUAAGGAAGGAAGGAAGGGACAGUAAUUUUCUUGGUUCACUCAGUUGUCACUCAUGUUAAUGCUACAGAUCAGGCAGUAGUUUUGUAAGGAAGGAAGGAAGGGACAGUAAUUUUCUUGGUUCACUCAGUUGUCACUCAUGUUAACGCUACCAAUUAAGCAGUAGGUGCAGUAUUGUAUUGAUACCACCACUCAUGACCCUUGUGGCCAGAGUGUUGUCCUGUAAUCAGUAUUCAUUCAGACACCCCUUGCCAUGCAGGUACUGGAAGUAAACACCAUUGUCACAGGAGAGGUGUGGAAACAUUACUCAUGAAUUGAAAGAAUAGGAUGUAGUAUGAAGAUAGGACAUGACAAGCUUGCCUUAGUCAUACAGGAAUGCAAAUGUAAAUAGAAGUAGGUAAAUCUGGUAUGAAAACAACAAUGUCAAAAAGCUCUGGGAAAUUAGUCUUGAUAAAUUUAGUACUCCAUCACUUUAGCAUUGUUUAAUUGGAGGUGAAUGUUUCUCUUUCUUUAGUUCUUUUACUCUAAGAAGCUUUGCCAUUCCAUCAAAAGGAUGGUCUACAACAUGACUAUACUUUGUCAUCUUAGUAUAGUUCAGAAACUAUUUUUUUAUUAUUGAUUAAUUUUUUGUCUUCGUAAAUAGAUGUACAUAUUUAUUUAUUUAUUUAUUAUUGUUACUAUUAUGUAUUUCUUUUACAUAGUGAGCAGCUGCCUCUUAAUUCAUACUAUUCAUAAAAAGAUGUACUGAACAGAAAAAGAUCCAGUUCUAUUUCACAUUGCAUUACUGUGACUAUAGUAAGAAGUUAAUCAAUAAAUAACCAUUACAUCACAAGGUGUAGGAAGAGGAAAGAUCUGAAUCUGUUUUCUAUUGUAUCAGUGUAGCAUUAAUAAGAAGUGAAUCGACAAGUAACCAUUUUAAGUGUACAUAUUCCACUUAUACACUUGGGCAUUGGUUGUCUCUAAGCUGCUCACUAACACAUGGGUUAUGGAUUGGACAAACAACACUUAAUAUUCAGGGUCACAAAGUUUUGGGUUGCUAGAAAUAAGUAUGUGUCGGCAAACUUUAAUGAUGAACAAUAGGGAUUUAAACAGACGUGGGUAAGAUUUGCUGGGUGUUGUGUGCAAACUUUAGUGAUGAAUAACAGGGAUUUAAACAGACAUAGGUAAGAUUUGCUAGGUGUUGUAUUUACAGUAUUAGAAUUGCUCUGGUGAAAUUUGUGUAUUGGGGUGUUGAUAAUAUUGAUGUUAGUUCAGAGAUAGGUAUGUGUUGAUAACGUUUAAGGAGGAAGAACUAGGAGUUAAACAGACAUGGGUAAGAUUUGCUGGGUGUUGUGUUUGCAGUAUUGCCUUUGUGUAGCUUAGGUGUUGUUGAGGUGUUGAUAAUAUUCAUGAUUACAAGGAAGCCCUGUACUUGUACUAUACUUUCCUGAUUACUAAUGUUAUCUUAUGUGUCUCACUUUUAUAUUAAUUUCAAUGGACAUUUUACUCUGUGGUGUUCUGACUAAUGUUUUUUAUAUUGUAUCUAAUUUUUAUGUUAACUUAAAUGGACUUAUUGUAUGUAAACUCUUUUGUGGUGUUUUACAUAGAGGUAAUCGCCGAGUUAAUUUCAAUGGACUUUUUUUUUUUCUUUAUACUGCUCAGUUUUUUUUUAUGUUAAUUUCAAUGGAGAUAUAUUGUAGCACUUGUUAGACACACAAGACUGUAAAGUGGAGUGAGUGAGGGAUGCCAGCGUGUUAAGUUGUGUGAAGCUCUUGUUCCGUCCAAUAGGUGUGCUAAAUGUUGGAAAGAAACAUUCCCCUCAUAAAGCUGCACAAUAAUCAAUCCGUCCAUUAUGAUGUUCAACUGUUACACUGUUAGACCAUUUUUUCCCAUAGUCUAUAACUUUUAAACAUUUAUACUACAGUCUCUUUAAUAAUGUAGCUUAUAGAAGACUAAGUUAACUUUUUAUUCUAUAUUUUUUUCUGUGCUCCAGCAAAGGUUAUUUUACAUUGCUGUGGAAAUACUAUCAUAGUACUGAAGGAUUAAAAUGGCAGAGUUGCUAUGGUCCUCUAAGAGAAUUGUAUGAAUAUUUAUCUCUGAAUGAAACUUACAUACUAUUAUAAGUAAGUUAAGAGACCAAUAACAACAUUCCACUUGAAAGUAUAAAUUCUUCUGUCUGUUAUGCUGUUUGGUCAUAUUUUUAGUUGACAGAAAGAAAUGUAUGAAUGAAUUUUACAGAAUAGUGUGUAAGAUCCCCAAAAAAUCCAUUCCACUAUUAAACUGCAAUUUAUCCAUCUCUUAUAUUGCUCAAAUUCGCCUUUAUUCCACUGAAAGAUAAAUACCUAUGAAUCUCACAGAAGAGAGAAAAAUCCACUUCAGUUUAAGAACUAUAAUCCAUCCAUCCAUUAUAAUAAAGAUUUUUGUCUCUCCUGGAAAGCAUGUGUUUGUAGGAAUGAAUCUCGUGAGAGUACAAGGGAGAAAAUAAUCAAUUCCACCCUUAAAAAAAUUGUAAUCUAUCUGUCCAUUAAUUUUACAUCUUGAAAAUAUAUUGAAUCUCAAAACAGAAACAUUGCAGCUAUGAACGUUAUUUUUGUACAAUCUACACUUCUAAUCCAUAAAAGCAAGUACUACAUAAAAAUCAAAACUACAAAUUCAGGCAUAUUUUGUACAACAUUUGCAACAGGAAGAAGAAGAGGAAGCAAGACUGAGAAGACUAAAAAAAUGGUGUUCUUAAAUAAAGCUUCCUGCUGCCUGAGGAUAAGUUGCUAGGGUGGGUGUUGUGAGGCGUAUGUAAGAUACAAAAAUAAACUGGUAAUGGGG